rnacentral:rRNA from 1 species
AGGGUUCGAUUCUGGCUCAGGAUGAACGCUGGCGGCGUGCCUAACACAUGCAAGUCGAGCGAUUCUCUUCGGAGAAGAGCGGCGGACGGGUGAGUAACGCGUGGGUAACCUGCCUCAUACACAUGGAUAACAUACCGAAAGGUAUGCUAAUACAGGAUAAUAUAAGAGAUUCACAUGGAUUUCUUAUCAAAGCUCCGGCGGUAUGAGAUGGACCCGCGUCUGAUUAGCUAGUUGGUAAGGUAACGGCUUACCAAGGCGACGAUCAGUAGCCGACCUGAGAGGGUGAUCGGCCACAUUGGAACUGAGACACGGUCCAAACUCCUACGGGAGGCAGCAGUGGGGAAUAUUGCACAAUGGGCGAAAGCCUGAUGCAAGCAACGCCGCGUGAGUGAUGAAGGCCUUCGGGUCGUAAAACUCUGUCCUCAAGGAAGAUAAUGACGGUACUUGAGGAGGAAGCCCCGGCUAACUACGUGCCAGCAGCUGC